rnacentral:rRNA from 1 species
AUGCAAGUCGAACGGUAACAGGUCUUCGGAUGCUGACGAGUGGCGAACGGGUGAGUAACACAUCGGAACGUGCCCGAUCGUGGGGGAUAACGCAGCGAAAGCUGUGCUAAUACCGCAUACGAUCUACGGAUGAAAGCGGGGGAUCUUAGGACCUCGCGCGGACGGAGCGGCCGAUGGCAGAUUAGGUAGUUGGUGGGGUAAAGGCUUACCAAGCCUACGAUCUGUAGCUGGUCUGAGAGGACGACCAGCCACACUGGGACUGAGACACGGCCCAGACUCCUACGGGAGGCAGCAGUGGGGAAUUUUGGACAAUGGGCGAAAGCCUGAUCCAGCAAUGCCGCGUGCAGGAAGAAGGCCUUCGGGUUGUAAACUGCUUUUGUACGGAACGAAAAAGAUCUCUCUAAUACAGGGGUCUGAUGACGGUACCGUAAGAAUAAGCACCGGCUAACUACGUGCCAGCAGCCGCGGUAAUACGUAGGGUGCGAGCGUUAAUCGGAAUUACUGGGCGUAAAGCGUGCGCAGGCGGAUGAUGUAAGACAGAUGGUGAAAUCCCCGGAGCUCAACUCUGGGAACUGCAUUUGAUGACUGCAGUUGCUGGAGUGCGGCAGAGGGGGAGUGGAAUUCCGCGUGUAGCAGUGAAAUGCGUAGAUAUGCGGAGGAACACCGAGUGGCGAAGGCGAUCCCACUGGGCCUGCACUGACGCUCAUGCACGAAAGCGUGGGGAGCAAACAGGAUUAGAUACCCUGGUAGUCCACGCCCUAAACGAUGUCAACUGGUUGCCGUCGGGCAUUAGUACUUCUCGGUAGCGCAGCUAACGCGUUAAACAUUGACCGCCUGGGGAGUACGGUCGCAAGAUUGAAACUCAAAGGAAUUGACGGGGGCCCGCACAAGCGGUGGGAUGCAUGUGGUUUAAUUCGAAGCAACGCGCAGAACCUUACCCCAGCUCUUGACAUGUACGGGGUAGUGGGCAUGGAGACGAUUUCCUGUCAGUUAGGCUGGCCCCAGAACAGGUGCUGCAUGGCGUCGUCAGCUCGUGUCGUGAGAUGUUGGGUUAAGUCCCGCAACGAGCGCAACCCUCGCCCUUAGUUGCCAGCAUUUAGUUGGGCACUCUAAGGGGACUGCCGGUGAUAAGCCGAGAGGAAGGUGGGGAUGACGUCAAGUCCUCAUGGCCCUUACGGGCUGGGCUACACACGUGCUACAAUGGUGGUGACAGUGGGCAGCGAGACAGCGAUGUCGAGCUAAUCUCCAAAAGCCAUCUCAGUUCGGAUUGCACUCUGCAACUCGAGUGCAUGAAGUGGAAUCGCUAGUAAUCGCAGAUCAGCAUGGUGCGGUGAAUACGUUCCCGGGCCUUUGU